GAUGAAGAACGCAGCAAAAUGCGAUAAGUAAUGUGAAUUGCAGAAUUCAGUGAAUCAUCGAAUCUUUGAACGCACAUUGCGCCCGCUGGUAUUCCGGCGGGCAUGCCUGUUCGAGCGUCAUUUCAACCCUCAAGCCCCCGGGUUUGGUGUUGGGGAUCGGCUCUGCCCUUCUGGGCGGUGCCGCCCCCGAAAUACAUUGGCGGUCUCGCUGCAGCCUCCAUUGCGUAGUAGCUAACACCUCGCAACUGGAAUGCGGCGCGGCCAUGCCGUAAAACCCCAACUUCUGAAUGUUGACCUCGGAUCAGGUAGGAAUACCCGCUGAACUUAAGCAUAUCAAUAAGCGGAGGA
rnacentral:misc_RNA from 1 species